rnacentral:rRNA from 1 species
GGAGGCGACAGUGGGGAAUAUUGCACAAUGGGCGCAAGCCUGAUGCAGCCAUGCCGCGUGUAUGAAGAAGGCCUUCGGGUUGUAAAGCACUUUCAGCGGGGAGGAAGGGAGUAAAGUUAAUACCUUUGCUCAUUGACGUUACCCGCAGAAGAAGCACCGGCUAACUCCGUGCCAGCAGCCGCGGUAAUA